UACGAGGGGGGCGAGCGUUGUUCGGAAUUAUUGGGCGUAAAGGGUGCGUAGGCGGUUUUGUAAGUCUUAUGUGAAAUCUAUGGGCUCAACUCAUAGACUGCAUGAGAAACUGCAGGGCUUGAGUAUGGGAGAGGUGAGUGGAAUUCCUGGUGUAGCGGUGAAAUGCGUAGAUAUCGGGAGGAACACCAGUGGCGAAGGCGACUACCUGGCCUGUUCUUGACGCUGAGGCGCGAAAGCUAGGGGAGCAAACGGG
rnacentral:rRNA from 1 species